rnacentral:rRNA from 1 species
UGCGCCUACAAUCCGUCAGAGCCUCCUCGUGGGGUGAUGGCGUGCCUUUUGAAGAAUGAGCCUGCGAGUCAGGGACAUGUCGCGAGGUUAACCCGAGUGGGGUAGCCGCAGCGAAAGCGAGUCUGAAUAGGGCGUAUCCCCGUUAGGGGUGUAGUGGCAUGUUCUGGACCCGAAGCGGAGUGAUCUACCCAUGGCCAGGGUGAAGCGCGGGUAAAACCGCGUGGAGG